GAUGAAUAAUUUGAUAACACUGAAGGAUAAAUACGACUUUUACUAAGAUUUUCAUUACUGUCGAUAUUUUUAAUACUUUUACUGCUGUUGCUGAUUUUUCCCGGUGACAUAGGACUAUUUUCUUUGAUUCCUCCAAUAUUCUGACCAAGUUGGUAGAAAUGUGAAAUUGACGAAUUUGAAGAAGAACAUGAAGACCCAUGAGAUUUUUGUGAUAAAACUUUUUUAGUUGUCUCUAAAGUCUGAGUCAUAAUAGCAAGCGCUUGUGGAUUAUUAUGAACUAAAAAAUUUUCAAAUAUUUCAUUCUCCAAAAUGUACAAGAUUGUAUUACUGCUUGUUUUCCACCAACUGUAAAAAGCAUUUCAGCUCCACCAUCAACGAAUUGAUUCUGCUCUCCAUUUACACGUAUUAAUUGACCAACUUUAUCGAGAACUAUUCGGUAUUCAGUGUCAUCAAUUGUGGUAAUCCAAGUUUCAAGAAUUUUUGACUGAGAUUGAAUGAAACUUUGGAAACUUUUUCCAUUUACCCACAAUGUAUAAGAGUAUCGUAAACCUGUGAAUGAAUCUUAAUAAGUCAUUGGCGUAGAAGAUGAUACAUUUAAUAAAAUUUUUAAUAAAGAAUAAUAACAAUAAUGAACGAAAAAAAAGAAUAAAUAUACCCGUAAUUGGAUCUACUCUGAUGUGUUGUUCCAUCGAUUUUCACAAUUCGUCGUCCACUGGCAGUACCAUGAUCGAAUUCUACUACGUGUGUACGGCCAUCCUGAAGAGGAACCACCCAACGUGCUGUUGGUUCAGUUGACAUAAUUUUCUUUAAUAAUGUAUGAUUUUAUUUGGCACCUUUUCUUGAUAGGUGCUAAUUAACUAUGUGAACAUUAAGUCACACAAUGACACUAUGUAUUAUUGAUUAAA